CCUACGGGUGGCAGCAGUGAGGAAUAUUGGUCAAUGGGCGAGAGCCUGAACCAGCCAAGUCGCGUGAGGGAGUACUGCCCUAUGGGUUGUAAACCUCUUUUGUCGGGGAGCAAAAGCCGGACGUGUCCGGCUGUGAGAGUACCCGAAGAAAAAGCAUCGGCUAACUCCGUGCCAGCAGCCGCGGUAAUACGGAGGAUGCGAGCGUUAUCCGGAUUUAUUGGGUUUAAAGGGUGCGCAGGCGGAUUUUUAAGUCAGCGGUCAAAUCGUGGGGCUCAACCCCGGCCUGCCGUUGAAACUGGCGGCCUCGAGUGGGCGAGAAGUAUGCGGAAUGCGUGGUGUAGCGGUGAAAUGCAUAGAUAUCACGCAGAACUCCGAUUGCGAAGGCAGCAUACCGGCGCCCGACUGACGCUGAGGCACGAAAGCGUGGGUAUCGAACAGGAUUAGAUACCCCGGUAGUC
rnacentral:rRNA from 1 species